AAUAAGCGGAGGAAAAGAAACCAACAGGGAUUGCCUCAGUAGCGGCGAGUGAAGCGGCAAGAGCUCAGAUUUGAAAUCUCACCUAGUGUGCGAGUUGUAAAUUGCAGGUUGGAGUCUCGGGUUAGACGUGUGUGCAAGUCCCUUGGAACAGGGCGCCACUGAGGGUGAGAGCCCCGUAGCGUGCAUGUCGACACCUGUGAGGCCCUUCUGACGAGUCGAGUUGUUUGGGAAUGCAGCUCUAAGUGGGUGGUAAAUUCCAUCUAAGGCUAAAUAUUGGCGAGAGACCGAUAGCGAACAAGUACUGUGAAGGAAAGAUGAAAAGCACUUUGAAAAGAGAGUGAAACAGCACGUGAAAUUGUUGAAAGGGAAGGGUAUUGGGCUCGACAUGGGAUUUACGCAUCGUUGCCUCUUGUGGGCGGCGCUCUGGGUUUUUCCUGGGCCAGCAUCGGUUUUCGUUGCAGGAUAAGGACAAUUGGAAUGUGGCUCCUCGGAGUGUUAUAGCCUUUUGUAGAUGCUGCGUAUGGGGACCGAGGGCUGCGGCGGACUGUU
rnacentral:rRNA from 1 species